GCACUGCAGAGGAGUUCCACAAUAGGACGAAACGGCCGUCCAGUUC
rfam:Schistosoma mattheei strain Denwood, Zambia genome assembly, scaffold: SMTD_scaffold0000177